UUCCAGGGCCAGGCUAGUCCGCCCUGGGUGAGUCGGGACCUAAGGCGAGGCCGACAGGCGUAGUCGAUGGAUGACGGGUUGAUAUUCCCGUACCGGCGAAGCACCGCCCAUGCUGACGCGCGGGUGCUAACCCACGCCCAGCCACCAAGUUCAGCCGCGCCUACUCCUUUCGGGGGGUGGUGUGGUUGUGGUGGUGGGGUCUGGGGACCCUCCGUGCAGGUAGGCAAGCGUGUUAACAGGGGUGACGCACAGUGGUAGCCCGGCGGACCUGAUGGCUUGGUCCGUUCAAGCGCGCAGCCCGUCCUCCAGGCAAAUCCGGAGUGACUGCCUCCUUGAGGGGUGAGGGUGAGGCGUGAUGGUGACCCCACGCUGGUGGGGGAUAACAGGGUGAUCCUGGGGUGCCGAGAAAAGCCUCGACGCGAUGGUGCCAGCCGCCCGUACCCUAAACCGACACAGGUGGUCGGGCAGAGUAUGCCUAGGCGCACGAGUGAAUCAUGGUUAAGGAACUCGGCAAAAUGCCCCCGUAACUUCGGGAGAAGGGGGGCCUGAUCCCUGAAGCCCCAUCGCGGGCUAGGGGGGAGGGUCGCAGAGGCCAGGGGGAAGCGACUGUUUACUAAAAACACAGGUCCGUGCGAAGCCGUAAGGCGAUGUAUACGGACUGACGCCUGCCCGGUGCUGGAAGGUUAAGAGGAACCAUCAACCCCCUCGUGGGGUGAAGUGGUGAAUUUAAGCCCCAGUAAACGGCGGUGGUAACUAUAACCAUCCUAAGGUAGCGAAAUUCCUUGUCGGGUAAGUUCCGACCUGCACGAAUGGCGUAACGACUUCCCCGCUGUCUCAACCAUGAGCUCGGCGAAAUUGCAGUACGAGUAAAGAUGCUCGUUUCGCGCAGAAGGACGGAAAGACCCCGGGACCUUUACUACAGCUUGGUAUUGGCGCCCGCUAUAGCUUGUGCAGGAUAGGUGGGAGACUGUGAAGCCGUUACGCCAGUGGCGGUGGAGUCGUCCUUGAAAUACCACUCUGGUUAUGGCGUGCGCCUGAACCUGGGCCCGUGAUCCGGGUUAGGGACAGUGCCUGGUGGGUAGUUUAACUGGGGCGGUUGCCUCCUAAAGUGUAACGGAGGCGCUCAAAGGUUCCCUCAGCCUGGUCGGCAACCAGGUGUUGAGUGCAAGUGCACAAGGGAGCUUGACUGUGAGACCGACGGGUCGAGCAGGUACGAAAGUAGGAACUAGUGAUCCGGCGAUCCCGUGUGGGUGGGUCGUCGCUCAACGGAUAAAAGGUACCCCGGGGAUAACAGGCUGAUCCUGCCCAAGAGUCCAUAUCGACGGCAUGGUUUGGCACCUCGAUGUCGGCUCGUCGCAUCCUGGGGCUGGAGCAGGUCCCAAGGGUUGGGCUGUUCGCCCAUUAAAGCGGUACGCGAGCUGGGUUUAGAACGUCGUGAGACAGUUCGGUCCCUAUCCUCUGCGCGCGCAGGAGACUUGAGAAGGCCUGUCCCUAGUACGAGAGGACCGGGACGGACGAACCUCUGGUGUGCCAGUUGUCCCGCCCGGGGCACGGCUGGUUGGCUACGUUCGGACAGGGUAACCGCUGAAAGCAUCUAAGCGGGAAACCACCUUCAAGACCAGGUCUCCGCAGCAGCACCCCGUGCUGCUGGAAGGCCCCCAGCAGACCACUGGGUCGAUAGGCCAGACGUGGAAGACCGGCAACGGCCGAAGCCGACUGGUACUAACAGGCCAACACAAACACAC
rnacentral:rRNA from 1 species